rnacentral:rRNA from 1 species
CUGGGGCUAAGUCGUAACAAGGUAGCCGUACCGGAAGGUGUGGCUGGAAUACCUCCUUU